rnacentral:rRNA from 1 species
UGGGGAAUUUUGGACAAUGGGCGAAAGCCUGAUCCAGCAAUGCCGCGUGUGUGAAGAAGGCCUUCGGGUUGUAAAGCACUUUUGUCCGGAAAGAAAUCCUUGGCUCUAAUACAGUCGGGGGAUGACGGUACCGGAAGAAUAAGCACCGGCUAACUACGUGCCAGCAGCCGCGGUAAUACGUAGGGUGCAAGCGUUAAUCGGAAUUACUGGGCGUAAAGCGUGCGCAGGCGGUUUUGUAAGACGGAUGUGAAAUCCCCGGGCUUAACCUGGGAACUGCAUUCGUGACUGCAAGGCUAGAGUAUGGCAGAGGGGGGUAGAAUUCCACGUGUAGCAGUGAAAUGCGUAGAGAUGUGGAGGAAUACCGAUGGCGAAGGCAGCCCCCUGGGCCAAUACUGACGCUCAUGCACGAAAGCGUGGGGAGCAAACAGGAUUAGAUACCCUGGUAGUCCACGCCCUAAAACGAUGUCAACUAGUUGUUGGGGAUUCAUUUCCUUAGUAACGUAGCUAACGCGUGAAGUUGACCGCCUGGGGAGUACGGUCGCAAGAUUAAAACUCAAAUGAAUUGACGGGGUCAUAGCUG